GCCAGGCACAGUGGCACGUGCCUGUAGUCCCAGCUACUCGAGAGGCUGAGGUGGGAGGAUCUCUUGAACCCAGGAGUUCUGGGCUGCUGUGCACUAUGCUGAUCAGGUGUCUGCACUAAGUUCAUCAUCAAUAUGGUGACCUCCCGGGAGCGGGGGACCACUAGGUUACCUAAGGAGGGGUGAACCGGCCCAGGUCAGAAACAGAGCAGGUCAAAACUCCUGUGCUGAUCAGUAGUGGGAUCGUGCCUGUGAAUAGCCACUGCACUCCAGCCUGGGCAACAUAACGAGACCCCAUCUCA
rnacentral:SRP_RNA from 1 species